UGCUCCUACGGGACGCAGCAGUGGGGAAUAUUGCACAAUGGGGGGAACCCUGAUGCAGCGACGCCGCGUGGGCGAGGAAGUAUUUCGGUAUGUAAAGCCCUAUCGGCAGGGAAGAAGAAAUGACGGUACCUGAAUAAGAAGCACCGGCUAAAUACGUGCCAGCAGCCGCGGUAAUACGUAUGGUGCAAGCGUUAUCCGGAUUUACUGGGCGUAAAGGGAGCGCAGGCGGCGCGCCAAGUCUGAUUUUCAACCCCGGGGCUCAACCCCGGGCAUGCAUUGGAUACUGGCGGGCUUGAG
rnacentral:rRNA from 1 species